CAUCUGUUUGAUGCUAUUAGAGUAAAAGUGCUUAAUGUUUAUGAUAUAAUGCACUUUCAAUAAUUUUUAACAUUCCUUCUGAUAAACAAGCAAAAUAAUUCUCACGCAUGCAAAACCUUUUAGGGUUGAUUAAUAUACAUAUAAUUGCAAUCUUCCAGAAUUGUGUCCUGUUAUAAGCUUCUGAUUAAGAACAUGAAAUGUCAUGUAACAUGUAAAAGGAUAACUUCUUUUUUCUGCAACAGCGUCUUGUGUCUUGUUAUAUAUUAAUUUUAUUGCUACUAUAAAAUGACUUUUUGAGCUUAUUACUGCAAAACACGUGAACAUUAAAUUAUUUAAACACAGAUUUUUCGAAAAAUGAAUGUUAAAUGAGAAAAGAUGUCUUAAAGAUCAUUUUAUAGAUUUAAUUUGAUGCAGGAAACUUUCAAAUUUACACAUUACAAAAUAAUUCAUCCGAAUCUGUUUUGGAGAUCUGUUACAAAUCUAGAGAGUUGACUAACCAAUUAAUUGGCUUUUGAGAAUUUCCGAGUUUGGGUUAAUACUGAAUAUAAAAACAAUUUGAAAUAUGAUUGGCCUUCGUAAUAUCUGUACAGUGUACCAGUCUUUUGUUUAUAGUUUCUGUUGCAGAGUACAUGCUCUUUGGAAUUUUUUUAUGAUUGUUUAUUUAAAGAUCUUUUUUUUUUUAGAAUUAUCGUCUUUAGAUUCUUUUUUUAACAUUUUGAAUAUUUAAGAAACCAUUACCUCAAUAGUGAAAUCCAUAUUUCUUAAAUGCACAUGUCCAUUGAUUUUGUGUUAUUUAUUGAUCUUUGCUUUAUUAUUUAUAUUGACUGAUAUAUUUAUUUGGGUGAAGGGAUGAGAUAUAGAACUGUGUAUCGCAAUCUAGAAUAGAUGUUUUAAUCAUACUUGAUAAGAGUUUUCGUAAAAUAUUUGAAAGUUUUAAUAUUUUUUUUGGUAACGUAAAAGAAGUUGCUGUUAACUUUACGUGGCGUAGAGAAACCUUAACAAAACAAUACACGCAUAAUAAUGGUGCUUUUUCAAGAAUUUAAAAAAAAAUAUUGUUAUAGUUGCAAUGCAUGUAGAUAAACAAUUAACAAACUAUUCACAUUGUUUUAUAAUGGGUUGUGUUUCAUAAAUAUGUUACCUCGCGCAUUUACAAUAUAUAUAAUUGUACGCUGGGACAAUGUUCCAUGCCAACAUUGGUCACAGCCUUUGUUAAGUUGUUUGUGAAAGUGUUGUUUCUGUAAGUGAAAUGAUAAGAUCUGAUAUUAUUGUUUUUAAUAAAAAAUGUUCUAAA
rnacentral:misc_RNA from 1 species